GAACCUGAGAGUUUGAUCCUGGCUCAGAACGAACGCUGGCGGCAUGCCUAACACAUGCAAGUCGAACGGAGGCUUCGGCCUCAGUGGCGCACGGGUGAGUAACACGUGGGAACCUGCCUUUCGGUUCGGGAUAACGUCUGGAAACGGACGCUAACACCGGAUACGCCCUUCGGGGGAAAGUUUACGCCGAGAGAGGGGCCCGCGUCCGAUUAGGUAGUUGGCGGGGUAACGGCCCACCAAGCCGACGAUCGGUAGCUGGUCUGAGAGGAUGAUCAGCCACACUGG
rnacentral:rRNA from 1 species